AGUCCAUUAAGCCUAGCUUAGCGUUGGGAAUCUACGUGCGGGCGGUGUUACCCUGUAGCACCUACCCUGUAGUUCCUGAAAAUCAACGGCGGGUUCGUGGUAACCUCUGAGCGUAGUAAUUUGUUCUCGCUUCUGAAGUGCCGCGACUCCAGCCGCUAAACCCCUAUUUUCUUGU
rnacentral:misc_RNA from 1 species